UACGAAGGGGGCUAGCGUUGCUCGGAAUCACUGGGCGUAAAGCGUACGUAGGCGGAUCGCUAAGUCAGGGGUGAAAUCCUGGAGCUCAACUCCAGAACUGCCUUUGAUACUGGCAAUCUCGAGUCCGGGAGAGGUGAGUGGAACUGCGAGUGUAGAGGUGAAAUUCGUAGAUAUUCGCAAGAACACCAGUGGCGAAGGCGGCUCACUGGCCCGGUACUGACGCUGAGGUACGAAAGCGUGGGGAGCAAACAGG
rnacentral:rRNA from 1 species